rnacentral:rRNA from 1 species
AGCCAUGGGAGGGAACCCCGGGAACUGGGGAUAAACCCGGAUAGGUGAAGAUGCCUGGAAUGGUGCUUCACCGAAACACCUCCGGGUGCCCAAGGAUGGGUCUGCGGCCGAUUAGGUUGUUGGUAGGGUAACGGCCUACCAAGCCGAUCAUCGGUACGGGUUGUGAGAGCAAGAGCCCCGGAGAUGGACCUGAGACAAGGUUCCGGGCCCUACGGGGCGCAGCAGGCGCGAAAACCUCCGCAAUGCACGCAAGUGCGACGGGGGAACCCCAAGUGCCACUCUUAACGGGGUGGCUUUUCAGAAGUGUAAAAAGCUUCUGGAAUAAGGGCUGGGCAAGACCGGUGCCAGCCGCCGCGGUAACACCGGCAGCUCAAGUGGUAGCCGCUUUUAUUGGGCCUAAAGCGUCCGUAGCCGGUCUGAUAAGUCUCUGGUGAAAUCCCACAGCUUAACUGUGGGAAUUGCUGGAGAUACUAUCAUGACUCGAGGUCGGGAGAGGCUGGAGGUACUCCCAGGGUAGGGGUGAAAUCCUGUAAUCCUGGGAGGACCACCUGUGGCGAAGGCGUCCAGCUGGAACGAACCUGACGGUGAGGGACGAAAGCCAGGGGCGCGAACCGGAUUAGAUACCCGGGUAGUCCUGGCCGUAAACGAUGUGGACUUGGUGUUGGGAUGGCUUCGAGCUGCCCCAGUGCCGAAGGGAAGCUGUUAAGUCCACCGCCUGGGAAGUACGGCCGCAAGGCUGAAACUUAA